UACGUAGGUGGCAAGCGUUGUCCGGAUUUACUGGGCGUAAAGAGCGCGCAGGCGGUCGAUCAAGUCGCGUGUGAAAGCCCCCGGCUCAACUGGGGAGGGUCACGCGAUACUGAUCGACUCGAAGGCAGGAGAGGGUAGUGGAAUUCCCGGUGUAGUGGUGAAAUGCGUAGAUAUCGGGGAGGAACACCAGUGGCGAAGGCGACUACCUGGCCUGUUUCUUGACGCUGAG
rnacentral:rRNA from 1 species